CGGCACGCUGUCCGGAUGUCAGAGUCUCCAUGAGUUCGCCGGGUACCCUCUCCAUCAGUGGCGUGACCGCCUCCUUG
rfam:Salmonella enterica subsp. enterica serovar Typhimurium str. LT2 plasmid pSLT, complete sequence.